rnacentral:misc_RNA from 1 species
UACGGAGGCUCCAAGCGUUGUUCGGAAUUACUGGGCGUAAAGGGAGCGCAGGCGGACGGGUCAGUCUGAAGUGGAAUCCCGGGGCUCAACCUCGGACGUGCUUCGGAUACUGCCUGUCUUGAGUUCGUGAGAGGAAGGCGGAAUUCAGGGUGUAGCGGUGAAAUGCUUAGAUAUCCUGAGGAACACCAAUGGCGAAGGCAGCCUUCUGGCACGAAACUGACGCUGAGGCUCGAAAGCGUGGGGAGCGAACGGG